rnacentral:rRNA from 1 species
GACGUAGGGCGCGAGCGUUGUCCGGAUUUAUUGGGCGUAAAGGGCUCGUAGGCGGCCAACUAAGUCAGACGUGAAAUCCCUCGGCUUAACCGGGGAACUGCGUCUGAUACUGGAUGGCUUGAAUCCGGGAGAGGGAUGCGGAAUUCCAGGUGUAGCGGUGAAAUGCGUAGAUAUCUGGAGGAACACCGGUGGCGAAGGCGGCAUCCUGGACCGGCAUUGACGCUGAGGAGCGAAAGCCAGGGGAGCAAACAGG